UACGUAGGGUGCAAGCGUUGUCCGGAAUUAUUGGGCGUAAAGAGCUUGUAGGCGGUUUGUCGCGUCUGCUGUGAAAACUCGGGGCUUAACCCCGGGCCUGCAGUGGGUACGGGCAGACUAGAGUGCGGUAGGGGAGACUGGAAUUCCUGGUGUAGCGGUGAAAUGCGCAGAUAUCAGGAGGAACACCGGUGGCGAAGGCGGGUCUCUGGGCCGAUACUGACGCUGAGGAGCGAAAGCGUGGGGAGCGAACAGG
rnacentral:rRNA from 1 species